AGAGUUUGAUCGUGGCUCAGAUUGAACGCUGGCGGCAGGCUUAACACAUGCAAGUCGAGCGGAGAUGAGGUGCUUGCACCUUAUCUUAGCGGCGGACGGGUGAGUAAUGCUUAGGAAUCUGCCUAUUAGUGGGGGACAACAUUCCGAAAGGAAUGCUAAUACCGCAUACGUCCUACGGGAGAAAGCAGGGGAUCUUCGGACCUUGCGCUAAUAGAUGAGCCUAAGUCGGAUUAGCUAGUUGGUGGGGUAAAGGCCUACCAAGGCGACGAUCUGUAGCGGGUCUGAGAGGAUGAUCCGCCACACUGGGACUGAGACACGGCCCAGACUCCUACGGGAGGCAGCAGUGGGGAAUAUUGGACAAUGGGGGGAACCCUGAUCCAGCCAUGCCGCGUGUGUGAAGAAGGCCUUAUGGUUGUAAAGCACUUUAAGCGAGGAGGAGGCUACUGAGACUAAUACUCUUGGAUAGGGGACGUACUCGCAGAAUAAGCACCGGCUAACUCUGUGCCAGCAGCCGCGGUAAUACAGAGGGUGCGAGCGUUAAUCGGAUUUACUGGGCGUAAAGCGUGCGUAGGCGGCUUUUUAAGUCGGAUGUGAAAUCCCCGAGCUUAACUUGGGAAUUGCAUUCGAUACUGGGAAGCUAGAGUAUGGGAGAGGAUGGUAGAAUUCCAGGUGUAGCGGUGAAAUGCGUAGAGAUCUGGAGGAAUACCGAUGGCGAAGGCAGCCAUCUGGCCUAAUACUGACGCUGAGGUACGAAAGCAUGGGGAGCAAACAGGAUUAGAUACCCUGGUAGUCCAUGCCGUAAACGAUGUCUACUAGCCGUUGGGGCCUUUGAGGCUUUAGUGGCGCAGCUAACGCGAUAAGUAGACCGCCUGGGA
rnacentral:rRNA from 1 species